rnacentral:rRNA from 1 species
GACCUCAAAUCGGGUGGGACUACCCGCUGAACUUAAGCAUAUCAAUAAGCGGAGGAAAAGAAACUAACAAGGAUUCCCCUAGUAACGGCGAGUGAGGAGGGAAAAGCUCAAAUUUUGAAUCUGGUGUCUUUGACUCCCGAGUUGUAAUCUAGAGAAGUGUUUUCCGUGUCGGACCGUGCACAAGUUCCCUGGAACGGGGCGUCAUAGAGGGUGAGAAUCCCGUAUAUGGCACGGACUGCCGAUGCUUUGUGAUACACUCUCAACGAGUCGAGUUGUUUGGGAAUGCAGCUCAAAAUGGGUGGUAAAUUCCAUCUAAAGCUAAAUAUUGGCGAGAGACCGAUAGCGAACAAGUACCGUGAGGGAAAGAUGAAAAGCACUUUGGAAAGAGAGUGAAACAGUACGUGAAAUUGUUGAAAGGGAAGCGUUUGAAGUCAG